ensembl:lncRNA
GGUCUCUUUGCUCCAUAAGUCAUUGCCUGCUCAUUACUUGUAGUGUGAGAGAUGAAAUUUAUUCAAACCUGAUAGCAGGGAUGAAGAAUUGAAAGGCAGGCAGCUGCGAGAAAUGAAAUUAGCUUAUUCUAAUGCUUUUUUGACAGGAUUUUUUUCAUUGCCAUGGGUUACUUUGUGUUCAAAAUUUAAAGUGAGAAUAAGCUGACCAUUCCUCCGUGUAGACCAAACUUUGACAAGAUACUCAGCGGAAAAUGUGUUACUAGGACUGAAAACUUGAUUAGUAAGGUACAUUUGCCUGAAAUGCUCCCCUGCCACAUCCUUAUCUCUAAUUUGGAGAGAUAUGUAUUUGAAGGGUGGACUGUUUGGUGGAUAAGAAAUUGGUUGGAAGGUUGCAGCCAGAAGAAUGUGGUCGCUGAAUCUAUGUCCAGGUGGAGGCUGAAAUACUUAAGAAGUGUGAGCUCAUCAAACGGCUAUACAGAGUCAACAGAAAGCAUAAAAGAAUUUUGAGGAAGAAGGGCAUCAAAGCUCGUUCAGAACUGAAAACUAAGGUCCCACAGAGAAGGGUGCCAUGGUGCAGCUAUGCAAUAGCCAUCAGAAUGGGAAAUUACUGAGGGAGAUUGAAGUGCUCAGAACUGCUGGCUUAUGAUCACUCAAAAUUCAGAAUUGGUAUUGUAUUGCAAUUCCUCAUCAAAAACAUGCAGAAUCAUCUUUCUCGUCAAAAACAUUUCAUUGAGAUAGCAGUCUACUGUGCCUCCCAAAAGGAAAGUGCUGAAGAUGUCACUGAAAAUUAUCACCACUUUCUUCUGCAUCAAGAAAAUAUAACUCACAUACAUCUCCUGGGAAUAUGGAAAUUAUGAAUAUUUGAGUCUAUCAUUUUUCCUUGAGGCCUGCCAAUGAGGCACAGGAGGUUGUUGAACUUGGAGUGAUAAUGUUCUUUCAAAGGCAGCAGCAAGUGGAUGUCAGGUCUCAGUCUUUGGAUACUCCAACUAACAAAAGUUUCUGGUUUAUCUUUCCUGGAUUCCCUUUACAGAAAGGGAGCUAGCUAAGAUUCAUGAUUUGCCAGAGUUGUCACUAGGAGCUCAGCAUGGGGCAGGAUGGAUUUUCUGCAUUCAGGACAUUUAUCUGAGGAUGGACUUACUCCACAUGCAUGGUUCUCUGUCCUGAAAUGCAGUGACUCCUCUUAUACAACAAGGAAGGUGAAAACAAAUUUUCGAGGUCUGAGGAAGAGCUACACUGCUUGAUUAUUGCAGGAAUGAAAGGCACUGUGACCUUGUCGACCGAAUGCCUUGCUGCUUUCAAUGUUGUCCAUUAUGCUGGAGGCAGGCAGCUCCUGGAGAGGGGCUGAACUCUCCGGGAGAGCUGCUGGCCGGGCAGCCUGCCAGCCAGGGCUUGGGCGGCCACACCACCAGGCAGCGAAUAUCAACACCCUACUUGAACAUGAUGCUCUUUUACAAACCUGGAGAAAACAAGCAAGCAAACAAAAAACCCCCACAACCAUAAGGAAAAAAACACACACUGUCAAUCCAUAUCCUCUCAAGAAACAGCAUCCUAAAUCCUAAAUAACCAAAAAGCAUAGACUAUGUCUUCCAUGUGAACUUGGUAGGAUGUAAGAAUGCAUGCAGACACCGACCACUGCUUCUGGAGACAGCUCAUCCUCGGGAACUUGGGGCACCUGCAGGUUUACAAAGCACCUGUGUAGGGAAUGUGCAAUAGGCCAUAGCCUGGUGUGGCCAUGGGAAGCUCUGCGAAAGGAGACCUGCAGGUCCGUGGAGCCCUGCUCCAAGAUGGUUGUGAAUGCCAGCAGUAAGAGAGAGACACUUCAAGAUGGACUCAUUAUCCCUGUUGCUUGUUUUACUCAAGUCUUGCUGAGCUGUGAAAACAGACCAAGUGAUCAUCUUUAUGCUUUUGAAAUGCAUAUAGUUAGAGAAAUUUCUGCCAAAAAAUUUCAUUUCCCUUUUCCUGAUUUAGUGCUUCACAGCAACCUACAAAGAAGUCCAGUGAGCAAGAGGGAAAACAGUGCUCAGAAGAGGGAGUGUUUAAAUAUGCUUUUUUUCCCAUGUUUUAAUGAAACACCUGCAAAUCAAAAUCAUGUUGCUUGAUCAUAAUGUCUUGUACAUCAUCCUGUAUAAUUGCUCCCAUUGUACUCCUGCAGCACAGACUACGUGUCAAUUACUGCUUCCAGAUUUGGAGAUGUAUACGUUUGUUACACCAUUACUGAAAGGCAUGAAAAUAAAAGUGUUUUCAUUUAGAUUAUUAACAUUAUGUAAAUGGCAACGUAACUAGUCUUGAUUUGCUGCCACUAACUUGGAAAUAUUUAAACAUUAUUAUUACUUAGCUCAACGUUCCAGUUUUAUCACUGAAAUUAAUGCAUUUAGGCUCAAUUUAGGCUUGUCAACAAAUAAUGAUCAUAGAUGUGAGCUGGUUCAUAAUCCAGAGGUACUAGGUUACAAUGUGUUGCCAUGGAAACUGUGUUUUAUUGCAUUUUCUCUACUUGAUUUAAGACAUUUGACAAUCAUAGCAACUGCUUGCCUGUCUUCCC